rnacentral:rRNA from 1 species
GAGUUUGAUCAUGGCUCAGGAUGAACGCUAGCGGCAGGCUUAACACAUGCAAGUCGAGGGGUAACAGAGGUAGCUUGCUACUUGCUGACGACCGGCGCACGGGUGCGUAACGCGUAUACAAUCUACCUUUUACUGGAGAAUAGCCUUUGGAAACGAAGAUUAAUACUCCAUAGUAUUAUUGACUGGCAUCGGUUUAAUAAUUAAAGUUUCGGCGGUAAAAGAUGAGUAUGCGUUCUAUUAGCUAGAUGGUAAGGUAACGGCUUACCAUGGCUACGAUAGAUAGGGGUCCUGAGAGGGAGAUCCCCCACACUGGUACUGAGACACGGACCAGACUCCUACGGGAGGCAGCAGUGAGGAAUAUUGGACAAUGGAGGCAACUCUGAUCCAGCCAUGCCGCGUGCAGGAAGACUGCCCUAUGGGUUGUAAACUGCUUUUAUAUGGAAGAAUAAGUGCUACGUGAGCACGA